AACCACAAACUGUCAUCAAAAGUCCAGAAGAUUCACUCAAAGCUUCAGAACAGACCGAGCAGAGCUCAGAUUCUGCUGUACAAGAAGAAACACAACAGCAGACUGCAGGAAAAUCACCUGAGAUUUCUGUGGAGGCAAAGCAGAGAGUUGAAAGUGUAGAAACAGUUACAAAGGACAAAGUCUCUGUGACUGCAAAGAAGAUCUCAAAGGAUCCGGUCGCUCCUACCCACCCAACAUUUGGGGAACGGAUACAAGAGCAACUGCGUCCAGAAAGAAUCCGUUGUCUCAAGACAGUCAGACUUCCCCAUUCAAAGCUUGUUUCGCUUGGUUACAAGGUGCUGUUAAUAAGCAACCUGCCAGAGUAUCACGAUGGCUGUUACGCAGAGGAGGACAUCGCCGGUCUGCUCACUCGACACAGAUUUGAAUAUUACGACGAUACGAUCUACAUUAUACCACAGGCGCGCAUGGUAAGCACCAAGUUA